ensembl:lncRNA
GGGGCGGGGCGGGGGAUCCCGGGGUCUGCUGCUGCGGGACGAGCGGCCUCGCGGGCGGCUCCCGGUCCCCAGGUGUGCCCGACGCAUCCGCGCAGAGCACAGCCCUGCCCGUGGUCACUGCGGCCCCUUCAGGGACUGCUCUGCGUCGGAGGAGAAGUGCGACGCGCGCCCUGACGCAGCCUGCAGUGACAACCUGAUAUCCCGGCACGGUUUCAGAGUUACGAUGGUGCGUAUGUUAUGUGUGGACCCGCAGACGUGGCUUGAUUGUUUGCAGUCCCGCCUGGGUUUAAUCACUUUGGAUUAAGUAACUGAUCUUACUACUUAUCUGGCUAUGAGAGGGCUUAUCGCAGGUUCCUUGGCACAUGAUGGGGACUACUCCGUCAGCACAACCGCGGCACUGCGUGGCCCUCUGACGUGUCCGCCUCCAGCACACCGAGCCUUCCAUUUUGGAGAAGAGAAGGCCCCAGGGAGACCUCAUUGCGGCCUUCCAGUUCUUGAAGGGUGCGUACAAACAGGAGGGGGAACGGCUGUUUAUGAGGGUGGUUAGUGGUAGGACAAGGGGGAAUGGUCUGGUCUUAAACUGAGACAGGGGAGGUUUAGGUUGGAUAUGAGGAGGAAGUUUUUCACACACAGGGUGGUGACACACUGAACAGGUUGCCCAAGGAGGCUGUGGAUGCCCCAUCCCUGGAGGCAUUCAAGGCCAGGCUGGAUGUGGCUCUGGGCAGCCUGGUCUGCUGGUUGGUGACCCUGCACAUAGCAGGGGGGUUGAAACUGGAUGAUCAUUGUGGUCCUUUUCAACCCAGGCCAUUCUAUGAUUCCAUGAUUCCUCCAUCCAGUGGGCAGCACGAGGCCGCUCGCUGCCCUCAGACCCACACAGCACAAAGGGGAAAGCUCUGCAAUGGGCACUGUGCGCUACCUGCGGUUUUCACAAGGAACACUGGCCAGUGACUUAAUGGGCAUGAUUGUGGCUGUCAUUAAGGACAGUAUCAGAAUAGCCAGUGUGAACGACGGUGUUGAACGUAGUUAAUGUUUAGCAUUGUUCUUGAGCAGGAGAUAAAGAAAGGGCGAUUAAUGCAUCCCUCAGUUCUGGACAGGCUGAACCAUAGGGGUGCCGGGCUUUCUGAGCUCAUCUGGUGCUGAACGUUUACCAGUUUCCCGCAUUGCAAGCAGGCUGAGGACCAAAGUUCAGCGGCGUUUGGACACGGCCCCCGGGCCGCAGUGCUGGAGCGGCAGAGCUGUGGGUUUGCUUUAAGCCCGGGGAGGCUUUGUCAGCAACUCAGGUGGAAACCCGGCGUCCCGCUUAGCUGAACUUCAACAUCUUGAGAAGUAGCGGGCGAGGGGUCGGCGGGGAGUUGCUGGGCUGCAAUGCCCAUGCUGUGUGACCUUCUCCUACUGCGGGUGUAUGGAUGCCCUCCCAGCAGCAUCCCCUCUACAGAACAUCCCUCCUGCUGGUCCUCCUCCAGGCAGCCUGUGUUUGUGUCAUGGCUGAGGCCAAUGUGGCCCCGCUGCUGACCCGGAGCCCCUGCCAAAGUAGGAUGGGGUCAGCUCCUUCCUGACCCACAACGUGAAACAAAAUCUGCGAUGGGAGCAGCAGGGUGAGCAAGCCUUCUCUUAUUACCUUCAUUUCCUGGCUGCCACUGAGCUGAUGUGACGCCCUUCUAAAAACCUGCAUCCUUGGGAUGCAGAGACACUUGGGAACCCGAGCACAGCUCCAAGCCUCCUGUUCUGGCCUUGGGGUGAAGGCCAUGCCAUGAAGGCAGGCUGCUCCCAGAUGUCAGCCUGGCUGGGUGGGGGUUCUUUGGCAGAACCCAGACUUUAGGCUUUGAAACCCAUUCUUUUUAAGCCAGCCUGAGGAGGAGAUGGUCCUCCUUGUCUGUCUGCAAUCUCAGGCCCUCAGGUGUGCUCACAGGCCAUGGGUGUCCUUUUUGGCUGGGUCAGUGACUACUCCUUGUUGAGCCUUGAUUUUGCCAUCUGUGAUAAGUGAGCCACGUUCAUCUUUUCUGAAACCAGCACAGAACCACAGCUGAGAUUGAAUUUAACCCAAUUUGCUACAGGAGGGGGAGCUUAAAAGCGUGCCUGUCCCUUAGAGGACCAAAGAGGCUGGGUGCUUUUUGGGGAGCUCUGUUGUGUAAGGGAGCGGGGUCCAUGGGCUCCUGGCGUCCACCAAUGGCUGUGGCCUUCAGCUCGAUGCUGCUUGUUAAAAAUAUUGUCCCAGCUGUAUUAAUAUGACCAGACUGGAUUGCAUCUGAGCUGAACAUUGUGAGCCUAAGGCAGGACAUAAAUAUAGAAUCAAAACAGCCUGACACAAGAGUCAUCUGUCCUCUUGUGUGCGAGAAGUGAAGGGGAAGGAGGACGAGGGCAUUCUGGGGUGGUUCUGGGGCACUUCCAGGCUUUGCCCUGAGCCUCGGUCAGCCCUGCUCAGGGUCUUGGGGCACAAGGGACCCCGGCGUGCCCCUGGUCAGUCUCCAUGCCACAGGACUGUGCGCUCAGCACAUUUUUAUCCUGGGGUUACAUUUGCCUAGACAAAGUCUGCAAUCAUGAAUGACUAUUUGUUUGAUGUGUUUGCCUAACAGGAUUACCCUUAUCGUAAUGAUAGAGCAGCCCGGCCUUGGCACAGCUAAAGCCAAGGGCUGGGGAAGGGGGGGGGGGGGAGUGCGAGCCCCUGCCUCCCUUGCCCCAGAUGCAGCCUGACUCUGCUACCUUGGCAGCACCCAGACAGUGCUUUGCUGGCAUUUACUGCUCCGCUUUUGGAAGAGCACCCGUGGUGUGUGGUGCUGCCUGCUGACAUAGCGCCGGGCAUUUCUGUCUCUGCACCUGAAAAACAAAGAGAGAUAAAUCAAUCGUAUUAAAAGGUUAGAAAAAGGAUGCAGUGUUCUGCAAUGAAGACGCCUUGCCCAGGCUCCAAGUGAGAGCCUGACUGAACUCAGGGUGAAUCUGUGGCCCUCUGGUUCCGUGGGAAUCAAGCUGUAGGGAAUGGACCGAUAAGCUGCUCGCUUUCUGCAUCGUACACCGUGAACCUGCCUAAAACCAUUGCAAAAGCAUCUGUUUGUGUAUGUGUGAUUAUUCAAAUGUGCUGAUUUGAAAGGCUCAAGGCAGGCCUAGGCCGGGCCCUCCCCAGCAGUGCUCCCAGCAGCAGUGAGCCCAGCCCUGCUGAUGCCCACACCUGCUCCUGGCCGGGGACCUUCUCGCACUCACUGCUAUUGUCCCUGCCUGAAGCCAGCCUGCCCUCACCAGGUCCAGGUGCUAUUUGCAGAAGCAGAACCCACCGCCUGCUUCUUGCCGGUUCGCAAACAAGCAGGAUCCUCUAUUUAUAAUGUGCUAUAAUUGGCUCAGAUGAAACUGGUGGUUAUCAGGCUGCUGGGGCCCUCAGGGACGCUGAUGCCGCAGGGUAUGGAGGUCUGCAGUGUGAGCCGUGUGCUCACAGACCCCCGCUUUCCGGAGCACCCCCUAUUUGUCAGGGCUGUGCGGGUCUGCUUUUCUAAAUGAGGUUUGGUGACAAUGAGGCACUGCAGAGCCAGAAAGAGAGAAAUCUUCCCACCGCUCCCUGGAGAUGCUUUUCGUCAAACCCAUCAUUUCUAACCCCAAGGCUUUCGUAGCAGGGAUGUGAGCAGGGCUCUGCGGCCCCAAAACGACCCGCUCCGUCACCGGGCCUGAGCCGCUCGGGUUCGCUUCAUUUGAUGUAGCAUCUGUUUGGUCUUGAUGGGCGUGCGGCCAUCUGCAGCCCACGAGGGACCCGGCUGUUCGGACUGAAACUGCCCUGAGCUCAUAGCUGGACACAGGAUGAGCUGCCGGGCUCCGGGAAGAAGCCGUGGCUCUCUCACUUAGCAGCAGGCCCAUGUGUCGUCAUGCUGAGCCCAGGCCUGCACAUGGGCUGCUGUUGCUGUCUAAAUCCUUCUGCCGUUCGAACUGUGAAACAUGAUGGAUAUAUGGCCGAGCAGGGGGAUUAAAAAAAAAAAAAUAGUGGAUGCUUUGCAUAUCUUUGAGGGCUUAUUUUUAUUCCCGUUUGUUCGUUCUCUCAGCUCUUGGCUGCCGUCGGGUCUGCAGAAACAACAAAGGGGGGUGAGGGAAAGGCCAGCGCUUUGGGGGCUCCUCCUGUUGGUGGAGGAGCUGCAGGCAGCUCCAGCAGCACCUGCGGGCUCCAUCACGCGCAUUGGAACAGGAAAUCUGCUUGCUUUGUGUUUGAAAAAUCAGAUUGAUUUAUCAGUCAAAAGCCCUUUUUUUUUUUUUUUUGCUGUGAAGUGCUGCUUAAAAGAAAUCUUUCUCCCCCUUUCAUUUCAUAAAAGCUCACUCAGAAGUCUUCCAGCAGUGCCUGGGGCUGCUCUGCUGCCAAGAAAUCCCCCGGGUCUGUUGAUUAAGCCUCCCUGAUAUUUCCGGUUUCUCUCUAAUUGUUUUCUAAUGAAAGUUUCAAACCCGAGUCUAAUCAGGAGGUUGGGCCACAGAGAGCUCUCAGCAGGGCUCCUCGCUGGGGUGUUUCUUCUCCUAAAUCAGUAGCUGCCUCCUGCGCGGGGACGAGAAGGUGAUUUUCUGCACGUAAAGACGCCCACAGUGCAGGUGGCAGUGGCUCCAACUGCAGGGUUCUGCGCUAACAUCGCUUUGUGCAGCUCUCCAUUGCUUUUGCCACCGAAAUUACCGUUGCAGUCUGAUCAGGCGAUAUCAAAAGGACAUACGAGCAAGCAGUGGUAUUUUCCUUUUUGCCUGCCUGCCCCCCCACACACCUGCCCUCUGAACAGAUGCUGUUGAGAUUUUCCUUUGUAAGUAUCCGAAGGGUCUGGGCCAGGUCUGGCUCUCUGCUGUGUGAGCACCAGGCAGCAGACGCUCAGCAUGGAACUGCAGGAGGGAGGAGAUGCUGCUGCGGCAUGGGGAUGCUGCGGGGCGUGGGGCAGCUGCAGUGAGCCAUGGAGCUGUGCCUGGAGAGGUGGGUGUUCGCCGGGAGUGCGCCGAUAGAUCCCCAGCCGCUGCACAGCAGUACAAAGGCAGUGAUGUCCGUGGAGGCGGUGUGCCUGCGGAUGGUGUCGUCCUGUGAAGUUGCUCGUCACACGGGUUUUCCAUAAGGAGACGUGAGAUGAAGGAAGGCUACGCUGUUUAAAUAAAUAAGUAAUAAGGUUUUAUAGCCUCUACUCUCUCGCUUUUGCCAGUGUUAGAAUAGGCUCAGGUUGCCACUGAGUGUGGGUGUGUAUCCACUCUGCGCAACGCGAGUGACUGGGAUAUUUACUGAAUGGCAGAUUAGCCACAUUUCUCAUUUUAAUUGGCACUGAAUGGGAGAAAAAAGUCAGUUUCUUUUUUUUUUUCUGCUGGAUGUGAAGAUGACUGAGACAGCUUCGUUGUCUUUUCCAGAAGCGAAGUUUUCAUGUGUUGAAGUGUUUCUUUACAUAAAUAGCAGUGAAGAAUGAGCUUUGACUUCUUGCUCCUCCCCCAGCCAUCAGCAGCAUUUGAAAAAUCCAGAUUACACAUGGAAUAAAUGGAGGAGAAUGUAUUACAUCAAAGGUUGGAGCUCUGAGUUUUUACUCUCUCUUAGAGAGGUUUGCUGGAAGCUAUGGCUACAUGUUAGGAGAGCAAUUGCAGGUGAGUUUCUAUUUCCCUUCCCAUGGGAAUGCCAGACUGCUCCUGAGGAAAGCUGCCUCCACCACUUCAAAAACUGUUGAUUUAAAUACUGAAGUGCAAGCAAUUGUAUUGUGGGGAAAAAAAAAAAAAAAAAAAAACCAACCAAAAAACCGGAAUUAACAUUUACUGUUAACCCCCUGGCUGUAUUACCAUACAGCAUCCGAUCUUUCUCCCACCAGGUCUCGUGACACAGAGCUCCCCCAAGGGGAUUGUGUGGAUUUCUCAUUCUAAACUCCAGUCACCCUGAAAACCAUGGCAGCUGUCCCCCACCACACCGUCUGCCUCACUGCUGAGAUGAUGGUGGAGAGAAAUUGAAGAAGUUUAUAGAAAGUGAGUGGUGUCUUCCGGACCAGCCCUGCGCUCACUGCAGUCACUCCUAUGACGAAGAGCUCCCAAACAGAAAUCUUUAUCUCCUCGUUUUGCUAAGGAAUGAUGACUCUCUUUGCAACUUGUGCUCCCACUCGGAUAUAGAUCUUCUCUACUUCGACACAGGACAGAGUGGAGCGAAGCCAUCAGCUAUCCAAGGCUUUCUGCGCUGACUUUGCUAAGUGCCUCCUCCUCAGGAAGGAAAAGGAUGCCUGCCUGCCCUUCCUUGUAAUACAGGGACCGGUUUCUAUGAGGAGGCACCAGCUAUGGGGGGUUAAUGCUCCCGUGUCACCCUGUCACUGCUGUCCCUUCCUAUUUUUUUCUUCAGGCAGCUCAUGGGUGCGGGGUAGGGAGCAGACAGGAGGUGAAUUUCCAAAGCCUUGAGGAAAUCAGCCUGCUUUUGGGCAUCAAGGACAAACAGGGCUCUGCAGCAGCCUCGCAUUUAAUUAGCAGAGAGAUGUUCCCAGGAGGAAGGAGAGCAACGUGAGGUGCUGGGGAAAGCCAUAUGCCCCGGGAACCUGAUCCCUGCUGGAGGAAGCUCUCAGUGCACAGAUGUGUGACUCCUGUUCCCCUUGGUUUUGUGAGCUAUGAGAAAGCUCGUAGUAACUGAAUCAAAAUGAAAUAAAGGGGGGUUUGUUUAUACCUUACUGGGU